GACGUAGGGUCCGAGCGUUGUCCGGAGUUACUGGGCGUAAAGCGCGCGCAGGCGGUCGCUCGCAUCGGCGGUGAAAGCCCCCCGCUCAACGGGGGAGGGUCCGUCGAGAUGGGGCGACUGGAGGCAGGGAGAGGCCAGUGGAAUUCCGGGUGUAGUGGUGAAAUGCGUAGAGAUCCGGAGGAACACCAGUAGCGAAGGCGGCACUCUGGGCCGGUACUGACGCUGAGGAGCGAAAGCGUGGGGAGCGAACAGG
rnacentral:rRNA from 1 species